rnacentral:lncRNA from 1 species
GUUGCUAGGUGAAGAUUCCAACUUCCUGGGCAGAGGGUCAUGUAGUGGAAUAGAGCUGUACCUGGCUUCAGGCGAGACUUGGAGCUCAAAACUUUCAGUAGGACAGCCAGGCGCGGUGGCUGAUGCCUGUAAUCCCAGCACUUUGGGAGGCCGAGAUUCUUGUGCUGUCACUCAGGCUGGAGUGCAACGUUGAAAUCUCGGCUCACUGCAACUUCUGCCUCCCGGAUUCAGGCAAUUCUUGUGUCUCAGCCUCCUAAGAAGCUGAGAUUACAGCAACUCCAAAAUGGAAGUACUAUUGUUAUCUCCGUUUACAAAUUAGGAAACUGAGGCACAGAUAUGCUCUUGGGUACUUGUCAGCAGCAGUUGUUCUACAAAUGAGCGUCUUAGCCUCUGGAUUACUGCUCAAUGAGGAAAGCUAUGAAAUGCAUGGAUAACUUGCUAAUCAGUAUUUGCCAUAUGUGCUAGCAGCAUCAGCAUCAGUUGGGAGAUUAUGGUGGCCUCCAUGUCAGACCUCCUAAAUCGGAAUAUCAGAGAAGGUGGCCCAGGUUACCAUGCUUCAUCUGCCAAUGCAUUGAAAACUUGGAAUGUAAAUUAAUUCAACCAUUGUGGAAGAUGGUGUAGUGAUUCCUCAAAGACCUAGAAGCAGAAAUAUCAUUUGAUCCAGAAAUCCCAUUACUGUGUAUACACCCAAAGGAAUAUAAACCAUUCUAUUACAAAGAUACAUGCGUGCGUAUGUUCAUUGCAGCAUUAUUCACAAUAGUAAAGACAUAGAGUCAACCCAAAUGCC